GCAGUGGUAGCUCAGUGGUUAAGAUCUCUGACUACUGAUCGGAAGGUCAGGAGUUCAAUCCCCAACACCACC